AUAAUUAAUUAAGUGAAGUCACACACUCACAACUCAUAGCAAAAACGAGACUAUUAUAUUACAUUACACACAAGGAUUCAAAAUCCUGUAUGGAGCUAUGUAAGGCUAACCUUAUUGUAAUGGAAAUCAAGCAAUAGAUAAACCUUAAAACGCAUACCCUUUGUAAUUUAGUUUAAUUUGUAUCUUCAAAACUCCAACUGCUUCAAGAACUUGCGGAAUUUCCUCAAGAAACCGCUCUUUUCUUUGUGUUCCUCCGCCUCCUCACGAUCUUCUUCGUGGUGGUGAUGGAAAUGGUGAUGGUGGUGAUGCUUCCCCUCUUCCUUCCAAUCGAUUCUGUACGAUUCCCACGGUUGUCCGACAUGUCGGAACUCACUCCACUUGGACGGAAUUACAAUUUCGCGAUUCGAUCCCCAAUUUGCCCCAGAAUUAGGGUGCGAUCGCUCAUCGGGUACGAUCAUGUCGUUUCCGUAUGGGAUUUCGCCCACGCGAUCGAUUAAUCUCCACGGCUUCAAGCUGUGGCGGUGGUGACAUCCACGCCGUCCUCGCCGGAACAUCAGUGGCACCGAUCGGCCGAAUUGGCGGUUGAUUGGACGGAAGGUGAUCAUGACUAGCGGAUCUGAAACGGUCUCUGUCGCAUCAACAGUAUUAAUCUCAGUAGGAUUGGAUUCGGUGCGUACCUGAUUGGUCUCUGCUAUGGAUUUUGGAGAUUCGUAUUCGGACAAUUUCUCGCUCGGGAGAAAGAUGGAGGCCUUGGAAUCGGAAUCCUCGACGGAAUCGGGGAUGGAAGCAUAUUCCGAUCGGUCUGUGAGAUCGCGAGCGUGUGAGGAAGAGACGACGAAGAAGAGAAGAAAAGUUAAGGUGAGUUUCGCCAUGGUUAUGGC
rnacentral:misc_RNA from 1 species